GGGAUGGAGAGAGGGGGAAAGUAAGGGUUACUUGAAGUUAGAGAAGUCAAUAUUCAUAAUUAUGGGUUGCAAGCUGCCAAGUGAAAUAUGAGGUGCUGUUCCUCCAAUUUGCAGUUGGCCUCACUCUGACAACGGAGUAGGCCCAGGACAGAAUGGUCUGUAUGGGAAUGGGAGGGGGAGUUAAAGUGUUUAGCAUCCAAGAGAUCAUGUAGGUUUAGGUGGACUGAGCGGCAGUGUUCAGUGAAACGAUCUCUCUCUCUCUCUCUCUCUCUCCAGGCCAAGCUAGUCUUGGAUGUCUCUGGGAAGGCUAAGCUUAACAUAGUGACAUCACAGAUGUCCUCAUGAUAUAUUGGACCCUUUGACCAAUAUUGGCCCAAGCAUUCUUCUAAAACAUCUACUCGUUUUCCUAAGCAGGGUUUGAAAUGUUGUGCUGCUAAUUUAGCUGACAACUCAAUUUUAGCUCACAUAGUCUGUAUAACCCUUACAUUACUUCUGUAUUUGGUCUCGCCAAUAUAUAGGAGACCACACAUGGAAUAGGGAAUACAUAGAUAAGGUUGGAGGAGGUGCAAGUGAACCUCUGCCUCACCUGAAAGGACUGUUGUGGUCUUGGACAGAGGCGGUGGAGGAGGUAAAGGGACAGGUGUUGCAACUCCUGCAGCUGCAGGGGAAAGUACCUGAGGAGGGGGUGGUUUGGGUGGGAAGGUGCGAGUUAACCAGGGAGAUGAGGAGGAAAUGGUUUCUGUGGAAAUCAGAAAGUGGUGGAGAUUGGAAGAUGUGGCUCGUGUUGGUUUACACUGCUGGUUUAUGCUGCAGAUGCUGGUUUACACCAAAGAUAGACACGUAAUGCUGAAGUAAAUCAGUGAGACAGAUGUUGCCGGGCCUGCUGAGUUACUCCAACACGUCAAUGUGCACCAAAGUUUCUUGGCAAAAGAAAUCUCUUUUCAUGUUAAAAAUAGAAAUGUUUAGAAAUUUGUUUCAUGGUUCUACUAAUCAUUCUCAAUGUCACCAACACUGACACUAUUAUUCUCUCAAUUAUGGCAACACAUUUAUUUGCAAUUUAAUGCUUUCAUAUAAUAGUUAUUAAAGAUGUUUUAAAGUGGUCUUAGAGGUCCCAUGGUCUUUCAUAAGAUGAAUUGCAAACUCACCCUAUCCACACAUAGUUCUUAAACUAGGGGAAGUAUAUUUACCACAUUAAAAACAAUAUUGAAAUAUCAGUAGCAAAAGGAACUGCAGAUGCUGGUUUAUACAAAGGGACACAAAGUGCUGGAGUAAUUCAGCGGGUCAAGCAGCAUCUCUGAGGAACAUGGAUAUGUGAAGUUUUGUGACGGGACCCUUCUUCAGACCGAUUGAAAUAUAAGUUGCAGUUGUAGUUACUUUCUUGUUGCUGUGCUUGAAACGGCAUAUACUUCAAUCCAAUAGUUUUAAAAUGCCACCACUUAUGCUUGGUACUUUAGCCAACUAUUCAUUUAUGCUCUAUCUCCAUUAUAGCUAAUAGCCUCAAUAAAUUUACAUAGUCAGGCAGUUUUCAUCACGAAUCCUGUAUGAAGUGGGAAGUUAAGAUACUGCAGACACUUGAAAUUUAAAGUGCAAAUGUUACUGUGUGAUAAUCAUAGAAGGAGCUUGGGCAAUGAAUGAAGAGUAAGUCUCUGACUUCACUAAAUAGAGCCCCGGAGAGGAGAGCAUGGCUGUUGUUUUUUUUAUUUUAAGGGUACCUUGUUCUGGAAAAGUCACUUCAAACUGAGACCUGGAUGUUACAAAAGACAGAGCAGAACAAAUACGACUUUAAUUAGGCAAGUCUACAGAACUUCCUGGAUGAGAUGCAGGUAUGGGGACAUGUGGCAUGGGAAGUACUUGUAGAUAAAGUCAGAUAUCCUGAGGAGGCGGCUCCGGCCCUGUCAACCCCCAAUGCCUCAUCAUGAAGUACAGCUCAGUGCUAACUCAAUUCAACUGCCGAUAAACGCUAGUUUACGUUCUUUGGAAUCUUACUAUUAUUAUUUGAAAUCUUACUAAAAGCUAUUAUGUUCUUUGGAAUCCUGAGUGUAAACAUAAUGUUUACCAAUUAAAUUACUCCUCAGAUUUCCAGAGGAAGAGGAUGUAAAAACAUUAAUCCUCAAUAUGACACUGUUGAGAUUUACAGUACUUCUGGUGUUUAAUGGUGAAGCCGCAAUCAUUAAGUUGCAAGGAACAGCAAGCUAAGUAAACAUUGAGAUGAGCAGAAUUACACAUGUUUGUACAAUGAUUCUUCAUUGUUAUAGCAGAAUGACACCAUUUAGUGUAUCUCCUCCAAUGAAUGAAACAAUAAGCCUUGAUGUAACCAUUCCCAUCCUUUUACAAUUUUAAAUACUGCCACAAUCUUGUUCUAUAGGCAACUGUGUUCCAACAAAAACAGCACAAAAUAAAAGUCCCAUAUUGCCCACAGGCUUGGAAAUGUUGUUAUAACGUUAAUUAUGCACAUCUAAGAAGAAACAAUAAACACAUGUUGGGGCCAGAUUUUGUUUUGCUGCAUAAUCUUCCUUAAUGAUAGACUAGCAAUAACAGGCGAGAUUCAUUAUCUGACGACUGAAUUCACCUUACUGUAAGCAGGCAGCUCUUCCAUUCAUUCUUCAAGAGAGAAGAGUGGAUAUUGCAUGGCUCUGAGCUGCUUGUUUAAUUUAAACAUCAUAAAAAUCAUUACAGGAUAUACAGAAGUAAUUAAAAUCUGAAAUUUAUUUUCCUCAGGUCAGUCGCAGGGAUGUCUGCAGAAUCACUGCAGAGACAGACCAAUAUCAGUGUCACCUCAUUCGGUAAACAUCUGGUGAACACAGUGGCAGGCGACAAAAGUCCCCAAAUAAUUUCUAAAACAUCUGGAUGCAAAGAUUUCUGGAGAGCGAUGAUGUGGUUCUGGAACAAUGACUUAAGGCAGAAUGAAUGCUUUCCUCAUCUGAGCUUUACCUUCGACUACCUUCGAUUGCCUUCGAUUUCAUACGAUAGCAUUAUGACCUACCUCAACUAAACCUACAAAUAAAAAAAUAUUGAUUUUUUCCAUGGUGGACCUUUUUUACUCACGGCCAUUUUUCAGCAUGUGGAAAAACACGCCGCGACCUAGCUGAGGCCUCGAGUACGCGGGGACUACUCUCGAGCAUGAAGGAGAGUUACAAAGACCUCCUAGGACCUCAUGUCGACCAAGCUGCAAGUGUGAGUCGAGGGCAAACACUCCAGGACUCGCGGAUUAGGUCGCCGCAGUGGGACAGGCGCUCAAGAAACAAAAACAAUGCCCAUUUGUGCUGUCAGAUAAUCGGAUGACAAACUUGCAUCAUUGGAGCAGUGUAACUAAUAUUGAAUGCACUUCUUUCACUUCAUAUUUGUCAAAGCUCUUAUAUUUACAAAAUAAAAUUCCUUACUUGCAUUUUCACAAAGAACAUGUAUUUUUGUUUUAUUAUGGUGCUAACCAUUCUGCUUAAGGGUUUUCUCUUUACAUUUAGCAUUUCUAUAAAACCAGUUUUAUAUGCCAGUUUAAUUAGUGAGCUCUGUUUCUUCAUUAAAUAAUUCAGUGCAUUGACAUCUCUUUGGUCUAUGAAUAUACUGCUUCUAAAGAAGUUUAUUAUUUCAGGUAAUUAACACCAUGUGAUAUGCAAGAGUCUGGCAUAAAAAUACACUAAAGGGUUUAACUCCAACCAUCCUUUCUGUAAAACUGUGACUCGUUUACACAAUAAAUUGUUAUUUAAGUCUUACUACUUUUAACUCCUAUUUUUGAUUCUUUUUUUAGAAUCAGUCCCUUUUAGUCCCCAAUUUAUUCACAUAAAUGACUGCAUCACCGAUUUGAAGAUUUUAUUUAAAAUCUUUAGUGCGGCAAGGUAAAGCUAUCCUUUUUCAAUUCACUCCCUUAAAAGCAUACAGAACCCACAGCCAGAGUCUAUCCUUUUUCAUACUUCAGUGACUGUAGUGAUAGGCCUCUCAUGUUGAACUUUGAACUUAUCAGAGCCAGACAUCAACAGGACAGGGUCUGCUGGGACCACACAUAAGCAGUAGAGGAGCACACUUUGUACUCUGUGAUUAUUCCAAUGUCAGAGUUCACUCAAUCAAACCACUUUGCUGAAAGCAUCUUCGUGAUUGGAGGCCUCAGCAGAGGGGGUCCGUUUGCACUGAAAUGCGGUUCCACUUAAGGGUGUGGGUUAGAUGUAGGCUUGUGCCUGCUGCUCUGCCUGUGCAGUGUUGCUCGUCACUGCUGAAUCACCAAAGUGGAGCCACUGAACCACAGCAGCACAUUCAUCUCUCACCUUUGAUGAUACAGUUCCGGAG